rnacentral:sRNA from 1 species
UUGCUAUCUGCGAUAUGGAAGAUUCGAACCUGCCGCAGGUUCGGGUCUCACGUAGUAAGACAACGGAGCCGCUUGCGGCGACGGCCCGAAGGGCGAGCAAAGCGAGUCAUCCUGCACGACCCACCA